AGUUUUAGGACUAGCCUUGUUUAGUAGUACGUGGGGGUAGAGCACUGAAUGAGCUAGGGGCCAAACCAGGUUACCGAACUCUAUCAAACUCCGAAUACCAUGUAUGUAAGAACAGGAGUCAGACUGUGGGAGCUAAGUUCCAUGGUCAAAAGGGAAAGAGCCCAGAUCGUCAAUUAAGGUCCCAAAGAUAUAGUUAAGUGGAAAACGAUGUGAUUUUGCGUAAACAACCAGGAUGUUGGCUUAGAAGCAGCCAUGCAUUUAAAGAGUGCGUAAUAGCUCACUGGUCGAGUGAAGUUGCGCGGAAAAUUACCGGGGCUAAACUAUACACCGAAAUUGCGGAUUUAUACGAUAGUAUAAGUGGUAGAGGAGCAUUCUAUAGUAGGACGAAGCAUGACUGAAAAGACAUGUGGACGAGAUAGAAGAGAGAAUGCCGGAAUAAGUAGCGAAAGCAUGGUGAGAAUCCAUGCCAUCGAAAGUCUAAGGUUUCCUGGGGAAGGUUCGUCCGCCCAGGGUAAGUCGGGACCUAAGGUGAGGCCGAAAGGCGUAGCCGAUGGACAGCAGGUAGAAAUUCCUGCACCACCGAUAUACUUAAAAAGCACAAGGGACACAGGAGUGGAAGAGAAGCGAGGAAGAGGAAAGACUCGUAUCGAAAGAUAUAGUGAAAAUAAAGUAACGAAUUCUCAAGAAGCACACUGGCGAGAAAAGCUUGUGAGUCUUGUAUAUAGGUGCCCGUACCGCAAACCGACACAGGUAGAUGAGGAGAGGAUCCUAAGAUGAGCGAGAGAAGCAUUGUUAAGGAACUCGGCAAACUAACCCCGUAACUUAGGGAGAAGGGGUACCAUAUGAAAGUAUGGUCGCAGAGAAGAGGCCCAAGCAACUGUUUAACAAAAACACAGGUUUCUGCUAAAUCGAAAGAUGAAGUAUAGGAGCUGACACCUGCCCAGUGCUGGAAGGUUAAGGGGAAAUGUAAGUACUUGAUACGAAGCAUAGAACCAAAGCCCCAGUGAACGGCGGCCGUAACUAUAACGGUCCUAAGGUAGCGAAAUUCCUUGUCAGGUAAGUUCUGACCCGCACGAAAGGUGUAAUGAUUUGGGCGCUGUCUCGACAAUGUACUCGGCGAAAUUGUAGUACUAGUGAAGAUGCUAGUUACCUGCGACAAGACAGAAAGACCCCAUGGAGCUUUACUGUAGCUUGAUACUGGGUUUUGAUAAUUUAUGUACAGGAUAGGUGGGAUACUAAGAAGCAUUUGCGCCAGCAGAUGUGGAGUAGACGUUGGGAUACCACCCUUAAGUUAUUGAAAUUCUAACCAUUCGUCAUAAACUGGCGAGGGGACAAUGUCAGGCGGGCAGUUUGACUGGGGCGGUCGCCUCCAAAAGAGUAACGGAGGCGCGCAAAGGUUUCCUCAGCACGGACAGAAAUCGUGCGAAAGAGUGCAAAGGCAGAAGGAAGCUUAACUGAGAGACUGACAAGUCGACCAGAUACGAAAGUAGGUCUUAGUGAUCCGGCGGUAGUGAGUGGAAAUGCCGUCGCUCAACGGACAAAAGUUACCCUGGGGAUAACAGGCUUAUCUCCCCCAAGAGUUCACAUCGACGGGGAGGUUUGGCACCUCGAUGUCGGCUCAUCACAUCCUGGAGCGGAAGUACGUUCCAAGGGUUGGGCUGUUCGCCCAUUAAAGUGGUACGCGAGCUGGGUUCAGAACGUCGUGAGACAGUUCGGUCCUUAUCUGUCGCAGGCGGAGGAUAUUUGAAGGGAGUUGGCCCUAGUACGAGAGGACCAGGCUGAACGAACCUCUGGUGCACCAGUUGUCAUACCAAUGGCACAGCUGGGUAGCUAAGUUUGGAAGGGAUAAACGCUGAAAGCAUCUAAGUGUGAAGCCCACCCUAAGAUAAGAUAUCCCAUACCAUAAGGUAGU
rnacentral:rRNA from 1 species